rnacentral:rRNA from 1 species
UAGGGAAUCUUCGGCAAUGGACGAAAGUCUGACCGAGCAACGCCGCGUGAGUGAAGAAGGUUUUCGGAUCGUAAAACUCUGUUGUUAGAGAAGAACAAGGACGUUAGUAACUGAACGUCCCCUGACGGUAUCUAACCAGAAAGCCACGGCUAACUACGUGCCAGCAGCCGCGGUAAUACGUAGGUGGCAAGCGUUGUCCGGGUUUAUUGGGCGUAAAGCGAGCGCAGGCGGUUUCUUAAGUCUGAUGUGAAAGCCCCCGGCUCAACCGGGGAGGGUCAUUGGAAACUGGGAGACUUGAGUGCAGAAGAGGAGAGUGGAAUUCCAUGUGUAGCGGUGAAAUGCGUAGAUAUAUGGAGGAAAACCAGUGGCGAAGGCGGCUCUCUGGUCUGUAACUGACGCUGAGGCUCGAAAGCGUGGGGAGCAAACAGG